AUGGAUUACCAGUGAGUGGCGGACGGGUGAGUAACACGUGGGCAACCUGCCCCAAAGCGGGGGAUAACAUUUGGAAACAAGUGCUAAUACCGCAUAACAAUCAUGACCACAUGGCCAUGAUUUCAAAGGUGGUUUCGGCCAUCACUUUGGGAUGGGCCCGCGGUGCAUUAGCUAGUUGGUAAGGUAACGGCUUACCAAGGCGAUGAUGCAUAGCCGAGUUGAGAGACUGAUCGGCCACAAUGGAACUGAGACACGGUCCAUACUCC
rnacentral:rRNA from 1 species